rnacentral:tRNA from 1 species
GCGGGUAUAACUCAGUUGGUUUAGAGUGUUAAGUUGUGGUUUUAAAAGUCAUAGGUUCAAGUCCUAUUAUUCGCC